UACAGAGGGUGCGAGCGUUAAUCGGAAUUACCGGGCGUAAAGGGCGCGUAGGUGGUUAUAUAAGUUAGGUGUGAAAUUCCCGGGCUUAACCUGGGGACUGCGCCUGAUACUGUAUAGCUAGAGUACUGUAGAGGAAAGUGGAAUUUCCGGUGUAGCGGUGAAAUGCGUAGAUAUCGGAAGGAACAUCGGUGGCGAAGGCGACUUUCUGGACAGAUACUGACACUGAGGCACGAAAGCAUGGGGAGCAAACAGG
rnacentral:rRNA from 1 species